rnacentral:rRNA from 1 species
GAUGAACGCUGGCGGCGUGCCUAAUACAUGCAAGUCGAGCGAACAGACGAGGAGCUUGCUCCUCUGACGUUAGCGGCGGACGGGUGAGUAACACGUGGAUAACCUACCUAUAAGACUGGGAUAACUUCGGGAAACAGGAGCUAAUACCGGAUAAUAUAUUGAACCGCAUGGUUCAAUAGUGAAAGACGGUUUUGCUGUCACUUAUAGAUGGAUCCGCGCCGCAUUAGCUAGUUGGUAAGGUAACGGCUUACCAAGGCAACGAUGCGUAGCCGACCUGAGAGGGUGAUCGGCCACACUGGAACUGAGACACGGUCCAGACUCCUACGGGAGGCAGCAGUAGGGAAUCUUCCGCAAUGGGCAAAAGCUUGACGGAGCAACGCCGCGUGAGUGAUGAAGGUCUUCGGAUCGUAAAACUCUGUUAUUAGGGAAGAACAAAUGUGUAAGUAACUAUGCACGUCUUGACGGUACCUAAUCAGAAAGCCACGGCUAACUACGUG